UACGGAGGGUGCGAGCGUUGUCCGGAAUCACUGGGCGUAAAGGGUGCGUAGGCGGGUCUUUAAGUCAGGGGUGAAAUCCUGGAGCUCAACUCCAGAACUGCCUUUGAUACUGAGGAUCUUGAGUUCGGGAGAGGUGAGUGGAACUGCGAGUGUAGGAGGUGAAAUUCGUAGAUAUUCGCAAGAACACCAGUGGCGAAGGCGGCUCACUGGCCCGAUACUGACGCUGAGGCACGAAAGCGUGGGGAGCAAACA
rnacentral:rRNA from 1 species